UACGGGGGGGGGCAAGCGUUGUUCGGAAUUACUGGGCGUAAAGCGCGCGUAGGCGGCUUUGCAAGUCGGGUGUGAAAUCCCCAGGCUUAACCUGGGAACUGCAUUCGAGACUGCAUUGCUAGAGUAUGGGAGAGGGAAGUGGAAUUUCCGGUGUAGCGGUGAAAUGCGUAGAUAUCGGAAGGAACAUCAGUGGCGAAAGCGACUUCCUGGACCAAUACUGACGCUCAUGUGCGAAAGCGUGGGGAGCAAACAGG
rnacentral:rRNA from 1 species